AGUCACCCGGAAGACACGGACACUGGAUUACCAGGCCCUCGGAUCCGGAUUCCGCGCGUGUGUGGAGUCAGGAGCGGGAAACUCCAGUAUGAUUAUGAAAGCCCUCAAGUGAGACCAGCUCAGGUAAGAUCAACCCAUCAGAAUAAAACACCCAAUGGUAGGCAGACUAAUCUCUGGCUUCAGUGAUGAUGUCUAAAAUGGAAAGCUAAUAGGAGAAACAAGAUACAAGAAGAACAAGGAUUUCCAGUAUAUUCCCAGGAAUUCAGACGUUCUUUCAUCCCUUAGGCUGCCUAAAAAAAAUCAGACUUUUGCCAACAAUCUGUGAACUCCUUACAAUCAUGGACAUUUUGUAUCCCUAAAGUCCAACAGAGUGAUUGCCAAUAGAGGCAACUCUUGGGCCAGCUGUGGGCAAUGAUGGUAAGGGACCAGGGCUUCUUGUGGAAAGCAGCAGUCAUCACGACUGUCCUUAGAUUGCAGGAACUUUAAGCUCUGAAUUCUAGUUCAGCCUGGGCUUCUAAGAUCAGGAUCUGGAUAGUGAACCACAGUGAGAUACAAUACAUCCUCUUCAGGGUAGGGUGUAACACUUAGUUUCUGUAUUUCCCCAGUAUUUUUACAUUUAAUACCUAAAUCAUUUCAGUGUUAAACCACAUCCUCAAUCAUAGUGCCUAAAAGAAAAUCAAAUGCAUGUGCAGCAGAUGGGCAAGAAGUUAAAAAGGGAAAAAAUAUUUGUCAUCAAUUGAUAUAACUCUCACAGGAAUUUUCACAUGGUUUGCAAAAGAUAUAAGGUGCAUUAGUUUAUAGAGCAUGUUGUUAAAUUUAAAAAUUUUCCUUUAUCUGAGUAUUCAACCUAUAUAAAGCAGACACAGAACCAGGUGAUACCCUACUGUAUAUUGCUUUUUUCUGAAUUAUUUCAAUUUCAGGAGACACAACUAACUUAAGGUCAAGCAAACUCAAAUUUACACUUCCAAAAACAAACAAAUCAAAGUAUACACCUUUAAUUUAAGGCAUUUAUAUACAUAUAUAUGAUACAACACAUAAUAUAUAUAUAUGAUACAACACAUAAAUGGGUCAUAUUCUAAAAGUUUAUUUGCAAGUCUGAAGUUUAGAACCUGAAGCCAGGAGUAGUAGUGUGUAUCUGUAGUUCCAGCUACUUGGGAGGCUCAGGCAGGAGGAUCUCUUGAACCCAGAGUUCAAGGCCAGCCUAGGCAACAUAGUGAGACCCCUGUCUCAAAAAUAAAAGUUUGGAAUUUCAAAUAUAUUUAUCAUAGAACUAAUCUGUAAAGGGUGGCUACGUUCCUAAGCCAGCCCACAAAAAAAAAAAAAAAAAAA